CCAAAAUUCUAUACACUACAAGGAGUGCAGCAGUGGGGAGGGAGAAGAGCAAAUAGUGGCAGCAAGCAAUAGCCACAACAAUUAACGAAUCACCAAAGCAAGGUUAAAAAAAGUAAGGCCGGCGCGAGAAUUUUAAUUGAGGAGUAAACGUAUCAGAUUAAGCAAUGGGGUGGAGGCGUGCUGAUCAGAGUUGAUGCUACUUAAGUAAAUAAGUAUGGAUCUUUCGACGCUUCGUGUCUUCAUACGCGAAGUCGUUCUUUGGACUUUUUCCGCUGCAGUUUGUUAACAGAGAAUAGUGAACUCUCAUCGUCGUAACUCUAAUACAAUUUUAUGAAAUGCUAUUGUCAUUUAAAUCCUUGUAAUCGAAUACUUGGAUCCUAUCUUAUGAUAUUGUUUGACUUUUCGAUGUG